GGGCAGGGGCGGCAGGGCUAACACAUGCAGUCGAACGGUAACAGGAAGCAGCUUGCUGCUUUGCUGACGAGUGGCGGACGGGUGAGUAAUGUCUGGGGAUCUGCCCGAUGGAGGGGGAUAACCACUGGAAACGGUGGCUAAUACCGCAUAACGUCGCAAGACCAAAGUGGGGGACCUUCGGGCCUCACACCAUCGGAUGAACCCAGAUGGGAUUAGCUAGUAGGUGGGGUAACGGCUCACCUAGGCGACGAUCCCUAGCUGGUCUGAGAGGAUGACCAGCCACACUGGAACUGAGACACGGUCCAGACUCCUACGGGAGGCAGCAGUGGGGAAUAUUGCACAAUGGGCGCAAGCCUGAUGCAGCCAUGCCGCGUGUAUGAAGAAGGCCUUCGGGUUGUAAAGUACUUUCAGCGGGGAGGAAGGGAUGGCGCUUAAUACGCGCCGUCAUUGACGUUACCCGCAGAAGAAGCACCGGCUAACUCUGUGCCAGCAGCCGCU
rnacentral:rRNA from 1 species